rnacentral:rasiRNA from 1 species
AACUGAAUAAACGAAAUGGAUGAC